CAGCCGCCACGGUAAUACAGAGGGUGCAAGCGUUAAUCGGAAUUACUGGGCGUAAAGCGCGCGUAGGUGGUUUGUUAAGUUGGAUGUGAAAUCCCCGGGCUCAACCUGGGAACUGCAUCCAAAACUGGCAAGCUAGAGUAUGGUAGAGGGUGGUGGAAUUUCCUGUGUAGCGGUGAAAUGCGUAGAUAUAGGAAGGAACACCAGUGGCGAAGGCGACCACCUGGACUGAUACUGACACUGAGGUGCGAAAGCGUGGGGAGCAAACAGGAUUAGAUACCCGUGUAGUCCCUGUCUCUUAUAA
rnacentral:rRNA from 1 species